rnacentral:rRNA from 1 species
CUACGGGGGGCACCAGUGGGGAAUAUUGCACAAUGGGGGGAACCCUGAUGCAGCAACGCCGCGUGGAGGAUGAUACAUUUCGGUGCGUAAACUCCUUUUAUAUAAGAAGAUAAUGACGGUAUUAUAUGAAUAAGCACCGGCUAACUCCGUGCCAGCAGCCGCGGUAAUACGGGGGGUGCAAGCGUUACUCGGAAUCACUGGGCGUAAAGAGCAUGUAGGCUGGUUAGUAAGUUGGAAGUGAAAUCCUAUGGCUUAACCAUAGAACUGCUUCCAAAACUACUAACCUAGAAUAUGGGAGAGGUAGAUGGAAUUUCUGGUGUAGGGGUAAAAUCCGUAGAGAUCAGAAGGAAUACCGAUUGCGAAGGCGAUCUACUGGAACAUUAUUGACGCUCAGAUGCGAAAGCGUGGGGAGCAAACAGGAUUAGAUACCCUCGUAGUC